GUCCACGCCGUAAACGAUGUCUACUAGCCGUUGGGUUCCUUGAGGACUUAGUGGCGCAGCUAACGCAAUAAGUAGACCGCCUGGGGAGUACGGUCGCAAGAUUAAAACUCAAAUGAAUUGACGGGGCCCGCACAAGCGGUGGAGCAUGUGGUUUAAUUCGACGCAACGCGAAGAACCUUACCAGGUCUUGACAUCCAGAGAACUUUCCAGAGAUGGAUUGGUGCCUUCGGGAACUCUGAGACAGGUGCUGCAUGGCUGUCGU
rnacentral:rRNA from 1 species